rnacentral:rRNA from 1 species
UACGUAGGGUGCAAGCGUUGUCCGGAAUUAUUGGGCGUAAAGAGCUCGUAGGCGGUCUGUCGCGUCGGCUGUGAAAACCCGGGGCUCAACUCCGGGCCUGCAGUCGAUACGGGCUGGCUUGAGUGCGGUAGGGGAGACUGGAAUUCCUGGUGUAGCGGUGAAAUGCGCAGAUAUCAGGAGGAACACCGGUGGCGAAGGCGGGUCUCUGGGCAGUAACUGACGCUGAGGAGCGAAAGCGUGGGGAGCGAACAGG